rnacentral:rRNA from 1 species
CACGUAGGGCGCAAGCGUUGUCCGGAAUCAUUGGGCGUAAAGAGCUCGUAGGCGGCCUGUUGCGUCCGCUGUGAAAUCCCGGGGCUUAACCCCGGGCGUGCAGUGGAUACGGGCUGGCUGGAGGCAGGCAGGGGAGAACGGAAUUUCCGGUGUAGCGGUGAAAUGCGUAGAUAUCGGGAGGAACACCAGUGGCGAAGGCGGCUCACUGGCCCGAUACUGACGCUGAGGCACGAAAGCGUGGGGAGCAAACAGG